GACGUAGGGCGCGAGCGUUGUCCGGAUUUAUUGGGCGUAAAGAGCUCGUAGGCGGCUUGUCGCGUCGACUGUGAAAUCCCGCGGCUCAACUGCGGGUCUGCAGUCGAUACGGGCAGGCUAGAGUUCGGUAGGGGAGACUGGAAUUCCUGGUGUAGCGGUGAAAUGCGCAGAUAUCAGGAGGAACACCGAUGGCGAAGGCAGGUCUCUGGGCCGAUACUGACGCUGAGGAGCGAAAGCGUGGGGAGCGAACGGG
rnacentral:rRNA from 1 species